rnacentral:rRNA from 1 species
AUUGAACGCUGGCGGCAUGCUUUACACAUGCAAGUCGGACGGCAGCGCGGGCUUCGGCCUGGCGGCGAGUGGCGAACGGGUGAGUAAUACAUCGGAACGUGCCCAGUAGUGGGGGAUAGCUCGGCGAAAGCCGGAUUAAUACCGCAUACGACCUGAGGGUGAAAGCGGGGGACUUUAGGGCCUCGCGCUAUUGGAGCGGCCGAUGGCAGAUUAGCUAGUUGGUGGGGUAAAGGCCUACCAAGGCGACGAUCUGUAGCUGGUCUGAGAGGGCGACCAGCCACACUGGGACUGAGACACGGCCCAGACUCCUACGGGAGGCAGCAGUGGGGAAUUUUGGACAAUGGGCGCAAGCCUGAUCCAGCAAUGCCGCGUGUGUGAUGAAGGCCUUCGGGUUGUAAAGCACUUUUGGCAGGAACGAAAAGUGCCGUGCUAAUACCACGGUACGAUGACGGUACCUGCAGAAUAAGCACCGGCUAACUACGUG